CCUACGGGAGGCAGCAGUAAGGAAUAUUGGUCAAUGGACGAAAGUCUGAACCAGCCAUGCCGCGUGAAGGAUUAAGGUCCUCUGGAUUGUAAACUUCUUUUAUCUGGGACGAAAAAAGGCGAUUCUUCGUCACUUGACGGUACCAGAUGAAUAAGCACCGGCUAACUCCGUGCCAGCAGCCGCGGUAAUACGGAGGGUGCAAGCGUUAUCCGGAUUCACUGGGUUUAAAGGGUGCGUAGGCGGGCAGGUAAGUCAGUGGUGAAAUCCUUGAGCUUAACUCGAGAACUGCCAUUGAUACUAUCUGUCUUGAAUAUUGUGGAGGUAAGCGGAAUAUGUCAUGUAGCGGUGAAAUGCUUAGAUAUGACAUAGAACACCUAUUGCGAAGGCAGCUUACUACGCAUAUAUUGACGCUGAGGCACGAAAGCGUGGGGAGUCAAACAGGAUUAGAUACCCUGGUAGUCCACGCCCUAAACCGAUGAUUACUCGACAUUUGUGAUACACUAUAAGUGUCUGAGNGAAGANAUAGUAAUAACCUACCGUGGUUAGUUAGUAGUUGNGAGAUUAGACGACGAAGAAGUUAGACGGCGNGAGACGNGCCGACGGACGACGACGAGGGAGGUAGG
rnacentral:rRNA from 1 species